GUGAAGGCGGACUCCAGACAAGCUCCAGCAUUGGGCGAAAGCUGUUGGUGAGGCUCUUCAGGGGGAUGAGACUGCCAGUGGUGCCGCGCACAGACUGGUCUGAAUAAAGAAUUUCAUAUCUCUUUGUUUCAUUAUCAUUAAAAGAAGAUAUAAGUGAAAGGAAAACUCGCCAACUAACGAAACUGCACUCCCCUAAAUAACAGCAAAAAAAAAAAAAGCAAACCUAUGAAAACAAAACAAAACAAGAUACCAAACAACCAGACCAUUGAGAUUUUAAAUAAAGGCUUUCAGUGGGAGUGGUAUAAUGAAGACAGAGAAAUGUGACAGAGGUGAAUAAAAGAGCACCCUGGAGAAAAAGAAGAAUCUAAGCUGUCAAGGAGGAGGGGAAGCCAUGGCCUACACACACAACAAAUUGACGAUUCCGCCACUUUCAUUACCUUUUAUUGCACUCACCUUCCAUUAUCCUCUUUCUUCUUACUAUUAUAGACUUAUUUUCUCCACCAUAAGACACUUCAGCUUUGGAUCAAGUAAAAUAUGGCCUUCAGUUCUUAUAAACACUAUCCUUAGUAUAACUACAAAUAAGCAUAAAUCAGUAGUAAGUAAAUGUAUAACUAAAUAAAUUCACAAAUAGACAACCAAAUGGAAAAUGUAUAUGUAUAAAGAUAUAGAUGAUAUACAUAUAUAGAUGUGACAUUAUGAAUUGAUAUAUUCUUACUUCUUUUGAGUGCUCCUCAGUAGUCAGUGAUGACCUUGCCUCCCUUUAACUUCUUCUAAAGAUCCUCAUCUGCUAAUCCAAUUUUUUAAAUUAAUUUUACAAUCCUAACAUCAUGAGCAUAUUCUAAGCUUGUUCUGUUUUAAUUUUCAGUAGGGAAAUUUGAUAAUUUACAGAAGAUCAAUAACGAUAAGCAAAACUCGCAUCAGUUCCUUUUCUUGACAUACAAUUCCAUUUUAAUUUUCAACUACCC